AAAAUAAAUAAUAAUAAUAAAAUUUUACAUUUCUUUUAAAAUGUACAGAAUAAAGAACGAACCUUAUUAGAAACGGAACAAAAAGUAAAUAUAGUAGAAAAGAAGAACGAAAUAUACAAGGUUAAAUAUUCUAAAAAAAUAAUAAUUAUAAUAUACAUUGUGCUUGACUUAAUAUCAUAAUAAUUAUUGCUAUUGUUAUUGUUUUUUAUUAUUAUUUUAUCAUUUUUAUAGAAUAAUGUGACAUUAUUAGAUCAUAAAUUGCAGGAAUUACAAGUAUACACAUAUUUAUAUAUAUAUACAUGUACUUAAUAAAAAAUUAACAUAACAUAACUACAUUGUUAAAUAAAUCUUUAUACGAUUUUAUUUAUUUUAUUUGUUUUACUUCUGUAUAUUGUUAAUAUAUAUAUACUUUUUUUUUUUUUUUUUUUUCAAUUAGAACAACGUGGAUUAUGAGCAAAAAAAAAAUACUCAACUAAAAGUAAGAAAUCUUAUUAUAUAUAAAUUUAAAUACAAAUUACAUAUAUUUUUAUUAAUAUAUUCGUAGAAAAAAAACCAAAAAAAUUAAAUAAGGAAAAAUAAAUAAUUUUUUUUUUGUUUUCUUUUUUUUUUGUUAAUAAUAGGAAGAUGUGGAAAAAAAAGAAAAUGACAUUAUUAAACGUGAUUCUAUUAUACAAAUACUCUACAAUAAAAUAAAAGAUAAUGAAAGACAAUUACGUUUAAUUGAGAGUGAAAAUUUGUCUUUAAAAAACCACAAAAAAGAAUUGAACGAAUUAUUGGAUAGUAAAAAAAAUGAAAUGAACAAUAUUGAAAAUGACUUGUACGAACAAUUAUAUAAUUUGAUAAUAAAAAGAAAAAUAAAAGCAAGAGACGAUUUACGUUUUGAUGGACAUCCUCAUUCGUUUCUUUUAAAAUCAUUUUGGUCUGGAUAUAUAAACAUAUAUAAAAACAUAUUAAAAACGCGAGAUUCAUAUUUGUAUGGAGGAAAUAAAGAUUAUCGUUUUAUUUGUGUCUACGAUACAGAUCUAUUUUUGGAUGUAAAUCAGGAAAAUACGAAUAAGUGUACUUUAUCUUACAAAAACGAAACCAGGGGGAUUUUUUUAAUAAGCGGAGAAAAGGAAAAACAUUUGAUGUAUGUAGGUCCAUUUAAUAAAUAUUAUGGUUAUAAUAUUACAGUAUGUUACAGGACAAACAACUUAGAAGUUAAUAAAGUUAGAAAGUGUUGUUAUAUAUUUGAGCAUAUUUAUGAUACUAAAAGGGGUACACAGUUGGUUUUAAUAAAAGAUAAAAAAAGUGGAAAAUAUUUUAGUGGCUUACGAAACAAUUUUUAUUUCAAGUAUAACAAUAAUAGUAUUAAUUAUAUUAAUAACAAUAGUAUUAGUAAGAGUAGUAGUAAUAGUAGUAGUAAUUAUAGUAGUAAUCGUAGUAGUAAUCGUAGUAGUAAUAAUAAAAAAAAAGGAGUUGAUAAAACAGAUUAUAACAAUGCUGUAAACAAGUUAAUUGAUUAUAUAACAAAUGAUAAAGAAGAAAAUGGGAAUAUUAUUUUAAAAAAAACAAAUGACAAACUAAAAAUCGAAAAUGAAGAAAUAAGUACAAAAAACACUUUACUAGUAGAAAAAAAUAAUGAGACUAUAAAUACUAAUAAUGUAAAAUAUGAUAUAUAUACGAAAAAGACAACAAAUUUAUAUAACACAAUGGGAAAAAUUUUUAAUAAAUAUAAACAAAAAAAAAAUAGUUUUAAAAACGAAAAAUUAGAAAAAAAAAAACUUAUCAAUAGAAAAAGAAAAUAA
ensembl:lncRNA